GACGAACGCUGGCGGCGUGCUUAACACAUGCAAGUCGAACGGAAAGGCCCUGCUUGCAGGGUACUCGAGUGGCGAACGGGUGAGUAACACGUGGGUGAUCUGCCCUGCACUUCGGGAUAAGCUUGGGAAACUGGGUCUAAUACCGGAUAGGAACCAUCUUUAGUGUGGUGGUUGGAAAGUUUUUUCGGUGUAGGAUGAGCUCGCGGCCUAUCAGCUUGUUGGUGGGGUAAUGGCCUACCAAGGCGGCGACGGGUAGCCGGCCUGAGAGGGUGUACGGCCACAUUGGGACUGAGAUACGGCCCAGACUCCUACGGGAGGCAGCAGUGGGGAAUAUUGCACAAUGGGCGCAAGCCUGAUGCGGCGACGCCGCGUGGGGGAUGAAGGCCUUCGGGUUGUAAACUCCUUUCGCUAGGGACGAAGCUUUGUUGUGACGGUACCUAGAUAAGAAGCACCGGCUAACUACGUG
rnacentral:rRNA from 1 species